ACGCCGCCGUCACCACGCUCGAUGCCCCCAACAUCGGUGUCCGCAGAUGGGGUUUCUUGACGCCAUUGAGCCCAAUGCGCCUCGCAACUCGACUCCCUCAAGCAGUCGGCGGUUGGCGGACGCUUUAUGCUCACCGCCACCCUGCUCCACUCCCCGCAAGACAAGGAGCCAGGGCAGGCAACAGGGGCGGCGGCACGCAGGCCCGCGCACACAGGUGGCGGCGGCGGAGCGCAGACAUUCUUGUUCUCGGGUUUACUGCGCUGGUUUAGAGCUUUGUCAACACGCUUCGGUUGAAUCUCAUCUGUACCAAGGAGAGAAGAAGUUAUAUAUAUAUGAGUACACAUGGAUACAUGCUGUGAUCAUACGCAAAUAUGAAAUAAAAUGGUUCCAACUGCUAAAGUAUUCUCAUCUCCUUAGUGAUUUGGAUCUACUAUAAUUAAUCAGGUUCCAGCUGCUGAAGUAUUCUUAUCUCGUUUGUGACUUGGCUCCAGUUUAAAUAUUCAGGCUAUAGCUUUUACCUCCUCAAGAACUCCUCUCCUCCAGUGUGAACUCGGCAUGCAACACUGAGAAGCUAGCAUCUUCGCUCACAAUUCGAAAUCAGCAACCAGGUACACACAGUUCGACAAAGUUGCAAUUCCUAAUUCAAAAGGAAAACUAAGAAACCUUCUAUUAAUAUUCUCAGAUCUGAUAUUUCAGCUGAACUAUAUGUUUGCUUGGCUUUCUAAACAGUUUUUAUCUUUCCCCUCUCUUAGAUUACCUCUAACAAGCAUGUGUUCUGCAAUUUACUCCAGUCACGUAUCAUGUGGUCUUGCGUCUUUUCCAGAUUUUCCUCACUGUUUAAUGCCACUGUAAUUUACAUGCA